GCCCCCAUAACUCAAUUGGCAGAGUAGCAGACUCUUAAUCUGUUAGUCCUGGUUCGAGUCCAGGUGGGGGUA
rnacentral:tRNA from 1 species